rnacentral:rRNA from 1 species
GACGAACGCUGGCGGCGUGCUUAACACAUGCAAGUCGAACGGAAAGGCCCUGCUUUUGUGGGGUGCUUGAGUGGCGAACGGGUGAGUAACACGUGAGUAACCUGCCCUUGACUUUGGGAUAACUUCAGGAAACUGGGGCUAAUACCGGAUAGGAGCUCCUGCUGCAUGGUGGGGGUUGGAAAGUUUCGGCGGUUGGGGAUGGACUCGCGGCUUAUCAGCUUGUUGGUGGGGUAGUGGCUUACCAAGGCUUUGACGGGUAGCCGGCCUGAGAGGGUGACCGGCCACAUUGGGACUGAGAUACGGCCCAGACUCCUACGGGAGGCAGCAGUGGGGAAUAUUGCACAAUGGGCGGAAGCCUGAUGCAGCAACGCCGCGUGCGGGAUGACGGCCUUCGGGUUGUAAACCGCUUUCGCCUGUGACGAAGCGUGAGUGACGGUAAUGGGUAAAGAAGCACCGGCUAACUACGUGCCGGCAGCCGCGGUGAUACGUAGGGUGCGAGCGUUGUCCGGAUUUAUUGGGCGUAAAGGGCUCGUAGGUGGUUGAUCGCGUCGGAAGUGUAAUCUUGGGGCUUAACCCUGAGCGUGCUUUCGAUACGGGUUGACUUGAGGAAGGUAGGGGAGAAUGGAAUUCCUGGUGGAGCGGUGGAAUGCGCAGAUAUCAGGAGGAACACCAGUGGCGAAGGCGGUUCUCUGGGCCUUUCCUGACGCUGAGGAGCGAAAGCGUGGGGAGCGAACAGGCUUAGAUACCCUGGUAGUCCACGCUGUAAACGGUGGGUACUAGGUGUGGGGUCCAUUCCACGGGUUCCGUGCCGUAGCUAACGCUUUAAGUACCCCGCCUGGGGAGUACGGCCGCAAGGCUAAAACUCAAAGGAAUUGACGGGGCCCCGCACAAGCGGCGGAGCAUGCGGAUUAAUUCGAUGCAACGCGUAGAACCUUACCUGGGUUUGACAUGGAUCGGGAGUGCUCAGAGAUGGGUGUGCCUCUUUUGGGGUCGGUUCACAGGUGGUGCAUGCCUGUCGUCAGCUCGUGUCGUGAGAUGUUGGGUUAAGUCCCGCAACGGGCGCAACCCUUGUUCACUGUUGCCAGCACGUUAUGGUGGGGACUCAGUGGAGACCGCCGGGGUCAACUCGGAGGAAGGUGGGGAUGACGUCAAGUCCUCAUGCCCCUUAUGUCCAGGGCUUCACGCAUGCUACAAUGGCUGGUACAGAGAGUGGCGAGCCUGUGAGGGUGAGCGAAUCUCGGAAAGCCGGUCUCAGUUCGGAUUGGGGUCUGCAACUCGACCUCAUGAAGUCGGAGUCGCUAGUAAUCGCAGAUCAGCAACGCUGCGGUGAAUACGUUCCCGGGGCU